UCCCUGAUAGCUCAGUUGGUAAAGAAUCUGCCUGCAAUGCAGGAGACCCUGGUUCAAUUCUUGGGUUGGGAA
rnacentral:tRNA from 1 species